rnacentral:misc_RNA from 1 species
UACGAGAGCCCCAAGCGUUACCCGGAUUUACUGGGUGUAAAGGGUGUGUAGGUGGCAGUGUUAGUCAAUUGUUAAAGACCGGGGCUUAACCCCGGAAGGGCGAUUGAAACGGUACUGCUCGAGGGCGCGAGGGGUCUGCGGAACUCAUGGUGUAGGGGUGAAAUCCGUUGAUAUCAUGGGGAACACCGAAAGCGAAGGCAGCAGACUGGCGCGUUCCUGACACUGAGACACGAAAGCCAGGGUAGCGAACGGG